rnacentral:lncRNA from 1 species
GGCAUGGACCCGUUGCCCGAAAAAAGCGAAGUAAUUGAAACAGAUGUUUGUUGCUAUAUCUAUCCGAAUGUGCUAUAACCGUCAAAACGUACGGAACGAGUUAUUAUCAUUCCACAGUGUGUCUCUUAAGUGUAUGGGACUAUAAUCGCCCUCGUUAAUGGGACUUUGUCUAUCUUUAUUGUACUUUGAUUCAAUGACACAUGGACCGGUCUGGCCCGUAACCAACAUAAUCAAUGAAUGUAGGCCACAUCAAUGGUCAUGGUGACACUCCAUAUGGAUCAAGUUGUUAAUCUCUGUGAAGAAACUACAAUGCACUGCUUCUGUCUAGCUAUUUUGAUGAAUGCCACGAAAAUCUCAUUUUGUUGGAGCACAUUGAGAAUGGGCAGAUGGCAUUAUGGUUUUCUUGUUAAGUUUACUGCAACUUGGCAUAUUUAAAUGUUUAUGAUGCUUCCUAUGGCUUUGUUUUGAAAGAUAAGUUCACUCUGUCUUCGUUGCCCAGCUCUCAUGGGCUUCCUCCCUCCCCUUCCUCUAUCAUUGUCAUUUAGUUCAUCUUUAUAGUCAAAAUUUGAAUUGGAUAAAAUUCAAUUCCAAAUAAUUAAUCAAAAAAAAAUAAUAUUAUUUAAAUUAUUUUAAAACCUAUCAAAGUUCAUUAUAUAUUCGCAUUUGGCAUAGAAUAAUCUUAAAUUAAAAAUGGUAUGGAUGAAGAUGAUCAAAAAAAUAUAUUUAUUGUAUCAUAGUGAUCCUAUAUGGUGGUGAUCCUGGGUCACCCCUUACCACUCAAAUUACCACCCAAUUCGGUGAUGGAAAAUUCAUCUUUUGAGAUCAAAUAUCCACGAUUUUCCUAAAACAAUAAUCUUGGACUGAAAUUUAAGAAUAAAAAUAUCCCUCAAUCUAUUGAAUAAAAUUAGUACUAUAUUAUAUU